AAUACUGACUUUAGCAUUUCGUACUCUCAAAUUACAAUGCCCAUAAAGGUAGGAAGAUAGAAUUUGUGUCGGAUAAAAUUCGAACCUCAUACCUCAAGAAUGGGAGACGAACUCUGGGCCAUUGCCGCAAGAGUUCCUUCUCAAAAUCUAAAAUUAAAUGUCAACUCAUUAUGAUACACUAUUCAGUCCAGUGUGGUUGGUCUGCUGAACAUUUUUUCUCUUUCUUUUUUAAAAAGAACAAGAAAAAAGAAAAAAGAAAAACAAAAAGGACUAAGAAUAAUGGUCCGCCGUAUUUUUCAAAAGGAUGGUGAGUCUCUCUCCCCAACUUACGCCUGCGAUCAAGCCUUGUGCUUGACUCGCUCAUAACACAAUGAUGCCCCUUCAACCUACCGCAUUUUAGCCAUUCUAUCUGAUCAAAUCCAACGAAUUUUCGGAGGAUUUGUUCAUCUGGGUUCUAUUUUUGUGCACUAUAUUCAACUGGGCACCCUGCCCAGAGCUUUAAAGAGACAAAUCACCGGUGUGGACUUGGGAUAGUUCUAACUAGUAAACCUGAGUCCCAACAGCUACUAGAACAGUGUACCUUACUAUCUUUUGGGAUUUAGUCGGGACUUGGAGCCUAGAUGGUUAAGGUGUUCCUGAACUCUGAUGGGCCUGGGAGUGGGGAGCGUAUAUGUUAUCUUCUAGAUGUCUUACUACAGGCGUGUGAAGCUACUGACUUAGAUGUCUGAUAUAAUGUUUGUGCAUAUUGUGUCUCAGACAAUGUAUGAUGCUGCUAAUAUAAACUGUUGUCUGUCUGUC